CACGCGAGUGGCCUGGAACGACCGGGGGCGGGACUAAGGGGCGGUGUGGGGAACCUUGCGUCCCGCGCCGCCGGCUCCCUCCGCCCCGCGGCUCGAAAACGCCCAGAAACAUGGAACUGUGGAAAAAAUCAGCCAUUCCCUUCCAGCCUGUGGAUUGCAGUACGCGAACCUGGGGAAAUGAGGUGGGACUCAUGCAAUCAACUGAAGACGUGAAUAGAAUAAAAAGAUUGAAUAAGAGGGAACGUCUCCUGCCUGACCCUUUGAAUCAGAGCAUCCGUCUCUUCCUAUCCUCUGACUGGAACUUAGAUGAGUUCUCCUGGUUCCCCAGCUUGCCAGCUGCAGAUCUUGGGAUUUCUCAGCCUCCAUAAUCAGGUAAGAAGCUUUGUAAGGUGACCAGUAUGCCAUUGAGUCCUGUCUGUGAUACACAGCUUCAUUCAUUUUACUUUAUGAGGACGUCAUCGGUCAGUUGUUGCAAAAUUCCGAGGAGGCAGAAAGGCUGCUUGAUUGAGACUCAUUUCCCCUGGCUGUGGACUGACUUUAUUAUCCACAAUUAAUGGUGAGUAACUCGAUAGAUGGUAUCCCUUUGUAAGCAUGAAUUUCUAACCAAAGAACAUCUUUCAGCUCCGAUCAUUGUUCAAUUGAAUGUUGCCAUGGGACUACAGCUAUUUAUUCCCGCACAGUGUUUUUCCAGAGAACUGUGAUGUGGCUCUGGUGACAGAGUGUAUGUUUCAUAGCUAUGCAAUCCUUUUCUUUUUUCCUCUCUCUCUCUUAUUUAACAAAGAGAAACAAAAGACCCUCACCAUAUGUGUAACAUUUCCCAUGAAUACGUUAGAAUGUCAGAAGGGAGACCGAUGCCGGAAGAUCCUGGCAGGGUAGAGGCCCCUCCUGACCGUUUCAUUUCUGUUUUCAUCUGGUGAUGUGCUAGAAAGUAGAUUUGACAUGAAGAACCGAAGAUCAUCCAGAAAUUGCUGAACACCCCGAUCGUGUGCAUCAGCGGUUCCAAACAGAUACAUCCUGGAAUAAUAAGCCCAUGGGUUUUAGAGUAAAUAUGUUCCCUUUCUCCUCCUCAGUCAGGACCCUGGUGCCUGUCUAUUUCACAAUACAGAUGUGCGUAGGGAACAGCUGUUGGGUUUGCCUGCCUUUUAUUCAUCCCGUCUUUUUCAGCUAAAACACUUCAGUUUUCUUUUGGGGAUCCACCCCUCUCCGGGGGUGACAGUCAAAGUGUAUAACAACUGGAAUGACAUGGGUAUUACCACACCCACACAAUCGGAACACAUGCUGACUGUGACACCUGCUGAACCCAGAUACGCUCAUCAGAUACUGUUUUGAUGAGUCCUGACAUCAAGAUGCCCUGACCUUCCUUCUCUAAGGGCCAAGCAUGGACCGAGCUAAGCCAAACAGACCCUCUGCCCUGAGAAUUUGCAUGCUGACAGGCAACACACACAAGGGCCGAAAACAUGUGGCACAGAUUCCAGCGGGAAAAGAUGUCAACUGAGAUCAAAAUGACAGAUGGCACACAUACUCCCAGAAUCUCCUACUACAAACCCAACAAAUCCAGUACACAGCCAACUCUCUUCCCCAGGUCUCCGUCAUCUCCAAAGUCAUAAUGGAAAUUAGGAUAACGCCAGAUGAGGUCACUGCAAGAAGGCAACUGUUUGCAAGCCAGGAAGAGACCUAUUGCCAGAAACCAACCUGACGGCACCUUGAUCUUGAACUUCUAGUCUCCAGAACUGUAAGAAAAUUAAUUGCUUUAAUUUAUUCUAAAUUACAAUAAAUGUUUAGGGGCACCUGGGUGGUUCAGUCAGUUAAGUGCACGACUUUAGCUCAGGUCAUGAUUUCGCGGGUCGGGUCGUAGGUCUGAGCCCCUCGUCGGGCUCUGUGCUGACAGCUCGGAGCCUGGAACCUGCUUUGGAUUCUGUGUCUCCCUCUCGCUCACUGCCCCUCCCCCGCUUGCAUUCUCUCUCUUUCUCUCUCUCUCUCAAAAAUAAACAUAAAAAUUUUUUUUUAAUUUUUUUUUCUUAAUGUUUUUUAUUUAUUUUUGAGACAGAGAGAGACAGAGCAUGAGCAGAGAAGGGGCAGAGAGAUAGGGAGACAGAAUCGGAAGCAGGCUCCAGGCUCUGAGCCAUCAGCACAGAGCCCGAUGCGGGGCUCGAACUCACAGACCAUGAGAUCAUGACCUGAGCUGAAGUCGGACACUCAACCGACUGAGCCACCCAGGCGCCCCAACAUAAAAUUAAAAAAAAAAAAAAAAAAAAUAUAUAUAUAUAUAUGUUUAAGCUACCCAGUGUAUAGUACCCUGUUACAGCAGGCCUGAGAUAAUACAAGGGCAAUUAAGCACAGAGAUGUUAACUAAACUUCCUCAAGGUCACACAGCUGGUAAGGAACAGAGGCAAGAUUUGA